rnacentral:rRNA from 1 species
UACGGAAGGCAGCAGUGGGGAAUAUUGCACAAUGGGCGCAAGCCUGAUGCAGCCAUGCCGCGUGUAUGAAGAAGGCCUUCGGGUUGUAAAGUACUUUCAGUCGUGAGGAAGGUGUUAAGGUUAAUAACCUUAGCAAUUGACGUUAGCGACAGAAGAAGCACCGGCUAACUCCGUGCCAGCAGCCGCGGUAAUACGGAGGGUGCGAGCGUUAAUCGGAAUUACUGGGCGUAAAGGGCACGCAGGCGGUUAAUUAAGUUGGAUGUGAAAUCCCCGGGCUUAACCUGGGAAUGGCAUUCAAGACUGGUUAGCUAGAGUCUUGUAGAGGGGGUAGAAUUCCAUGUGUAGCGGUGAAAUGCGUAGAGAUGUGGAGGAAUCCGGUGGCGAAGGCGGCCCCUGGACAAGACUGACGCUCAUGUGCGAAAGCGUGGGGAGCAAACGAGGAUUAGAUAC